GGAUGAAGAACGUAGCGAAAUGCGAUAAGUAAUGCGAAUUGCAGAAUUCAGUGAGUCAUCGAAUCUUUGAACGCACAUUGCGCCCUGUGGUAUUCCGCAGGGCAUGCCUGUUCGAGCGUCAUUUCAACCCUCAAGCUCUGCUUGGUGUUGGGCCACGCCCCCGCGGCCGGCCCCAAAGCUAGUGGCGGUGCCGUCUGGCUCUAAGCGUAGUACAUCUCUCGCUCUAGGGCCCGGCGGUUGCUUGCCAGAACCCACACUCUUAUGGUUGACCUCGGAUCAGGUAGGGAUACCCGCUGAACUUAAGCAUAUCAAUAAGCGGAGGA
rnacentral:misc_RNA from 1 species